GAGAUUGUUAAGAAGGAAACUAACAACAGCUUAGACUGAAAUAUAGAUCUAUAAAUCUUAAAGAAUAAGACAGCAAUUCAGAGCAGGGUGAAGUCAGACUCCAGAGACUGGAUCCAAAGAACAAAUACAGUGUAUGUGUGUGUGUGUGUGUGUGUGUGUGUGUGUGUGUGAGAGAGAGAGAGAGAGAGAGAGAGAGAGAGAGAGAAGCAAAGGCAAGAAGUUCAGAUUAUCCCAAAAAAGUUUUGUUGUUUAAAAGUAUAAACUGAUAAGAACAAAUUAAUUCAAGAGGAUUUUUUUUGUUAUCAUAGCCAAUAGAAGCUCGCCUGGACUGUUUACUAAAGAUCAGGAAGCGUACCAUGAGAGCCAAGAGGAUUCUGGUGUUCUUAAAGAGCAGAGUCAAAGAAGCUAUUACAGGUGAGAAGGCUUAAUUCAAAACAUAGAAGUCUUGUCCAAAUGCAGAAAACGAAAAGCAUAGUGGCCAGAUACAAAACUGGACAGGGCUAGUUGUGCAGAAGAGGAAAUUCCAACAGGUGCUGCUGCUACACUUGCUGAGAUUCCCACUUCUGUUAAAGGUACGGGAGUCCACUCCCCUCUAAGCUAGGCUUAACUUUAAUAUAUUGGUCUCUGGCAGAAAAGCAGACUGAAAGUAUCUAAUGGUCCAUCAGGCUAUUUUGGGACUAUGCAGACUUUUGAAUAGACGUAGCAGAAAUAAAUGAAAUCUGUAUAGGCUGAAGAAUAAAGAGGUAUCUAGACAUCUAAACAUCAUAGCUUAUUUUAGCAGGUGAACUUGAUUCUUAAAGUCAGAAAGGAAUUUUGCAUUUUAAAAUGGCUGUGAACAUAUGGUACUGCCUUACACAGAGUCACAUCAUGGAUCCAUCUAUCUGGAAACUGCCUACUCUGAUUGGCAUCAGCUACUAGUUUCUCAGGCGGAGGAGGGUCUUUCCCCAGGACCUACGACCUGAGAUUCUUUUAACCUGCCCAGGAUUGAACGUGAGACCCUCUGCAUCAAAGCAUGUACUUUGCCACUGGCCCUCUACCUAAAGGCAACACCGUUGUUAGCA